AAAAUUAGUUAAAUAUAUAACAUAGGUUUGUCAAGCCUAAAUUAUCAUCAUUGAUAUUUUA
rnacentral:tRNA from 1 species